rnacentral:rRNA from 1 species
CAAUCUGCCUUGGAGUGGGGAAUAACGGUUGGAAACAGCCGCUAAUACCGCAUGAUGCGUCUGGGAGGCAUCUCUCUGGACGCCAAAGAUUUAUCGCUCUGAGAUGAGCUCGCGUCUGAUUAGCUAGUUGGCGGGGCAACGGCCCACCAAGGCGACGAUCAGUAGCCGGACUGAGAGGUUGGCCGGCCACAUUGGGACUGAGACACGGCCCAGACUCCUACGGGAGGCAGCAG